AGCCGCGCGGUGAGCACAAAGCGAACUAUUCUUUCGCCUUUUACUAAAGAAUACCGUGUGCGCGCCGCAGAUAGCGGCAUACGCCUAUUUUUGGAGGGGUUCUUCCUUGUGGAAGAGC